rnacentral:rRNA from 1 species
UACGAGGGGGGCAAGCGUUGUUCGGAAUUAUUGGGCGUAAAGCGCACGUAGGCGGUUCGUUAUGUCGGAUGUGAAAGCCCUUGGCUUAACCGAGGAAGUGCAUCCGAAACUGGCGAGCUAGAGUACGAAAGAGGAUCGCGGAAUUCCCGGUGUAGAGGUGAAAUUCGUAGAUAUCGGGAGGAACACCGGUGGCGAAGGCGGCGAUCUGGGUCGAUACUGACGCUGAGGUGCGAAAGCGUGGGGAGCAAACAGG